rnacentral:rRNA from 1 species
AUGCAUGUGUUAGUCGUGCGGAACCUAAAGCUGGUGCUGGUGGUUAAUCAAACUGUUUGUGACGUGCCCCCUAGUAUAAGUGUUCUGGCGUGUUCCAUGGGAUCCCUUUGCUUGCAACGAGAGGAGUGCCACGUCAGUUCCAUGAUAAACAAAGAAAAGACGGAGUGCUACGUCAGAACCACUGCCAUGCAUGCACUGCACGCAACGACCGUUAUUGACCGCAAAAAUUGCCUUUUCUUCUGUCUACUUUUGACAAGUCUCGGUAGACAGAGAUUUCGUUAUGUCUCAGUUGAUACUACAUUCCUGUCAUCUUGCAUAGAGAUUCAUGCAAAAUUUUCUUUUCGUUUCACAUUUUCUUUUUAUAUGUUAUAUCAUUUAACUGAGCUAAAAAAUCUAAAUAGAAAGAAGAAGAAAAAGACAGAAAAAUGA